rnacentral:tRNA from 1 species
GCGUUUGUAGUCCAACGGCGCGGAUAAUUGGCUCUCUGAAGCAAUAGACCCGGGUUCGACUCCCGGCAGACGCA